UACGUAGGGGCCUAGCGUUGUCCGGAAUUAUUGGGCGUAAAGAGCUCGUAGGCGGUUCGGCAAGUCGGAUGUGAAAUCUCCACGCUCAACGUGGAGGGGCCAUUCGAAACUGCCGUGACUCGAGUCCGGUAGGGGAGUGUGGAAUUCCCGGUGUAGCGGUGAAAUGUGUAGAGAUCGGGAGGAACACCGGUGGCGAAGGCGGCCUUCUGGACGGUGACUGACGCUGAGGCGCGAAAGCGUGGGGAGCAAACGGG
rnacentral:rRNA from 1 species